rnacentral:rRNA from 1 species
UUCCACAAGACUAAUAAGCCCUCAAUCCUGCUCCAACUUGACAUUGCCAAGGCUUUUGACUCCGUGUCCUAGACAUGCAUCCUUGACAUGCUUCGUGCUAGAGGCUUUGGUGCAAGGUGGCGCGAAUGGAUCGCGAUGUUGCUGCGAACGGCCUCCUCGCGCAUCCUAAUCAAUGGGCACAUGUCGGAGCCGGUGCAUCACAUGAAGGGGUUGAGGAGGGACUCUCUCUCCCCCUUCCUUUUCAUCCUUGCUAUGGAUCUGCUCCAAAGAAUGAUGAACAUGGCCACGAACGAGGGAGUGCUUUCCAAGCUACCUGGAAGACACGCUGUGCUCCGCUGCUCCUUUUAUGCCGAUGACGUUGCCCUCUUCAUUAACCCCUUGGCUAGGGACGCCCAUAUGAUCAAGUUGAUUCUGACACUUUUUGGCAAGGUCACUGGAUCAAGUUGA